rnacentral:rRNA from 1 species
GUCUUUUAAUUGAAGACUUGUAUGAAUGAUUUGAUGAAAUAUAAACUGUCUCUUUAUUAAAAAUAGAAUUUAAUUUUUUAGUUAAAAAGCUAAAAUUUAUUUAAAAGACGAGAAGACCCUAUAGAGUUUUAUAUUUAAAAUUAUAUUAAUUUUGUAUAUAAUUUUUAUUUAAUAUUUUUUAAAAUAUUUUAUUGGGGUGAUAGAAAAAUUUAAUAAACUUUUUUUAAAAAUUUUACAUUAAUAUAUGAAAUUUUGAUCCAUAAUUUAUGAUUAAAAGAUUAAAUUACCUUAGGGAUAACAGCGUAAUUUUUUUUUUUAGUUCUUAUAAGAAAAAAAGUUUGCGACCUCGAUGUUGGAUUAAG